GGGCUCACGGCCUAUCAGCUUGUUGGUGAGGUAAUGGCUCACCAAGGCGACGACGGGUAGCCGGCCUGAGAGGGUGACCGGCCACACUGGGACUGAGACACGGCCCAAACUCCUACGGGAGGCAGCAGUGGGGAAUAUUGCACAAUGGGCGAAAGCCUGAUGCAGCGCCGCCGCGUGAGGGAUGACGGCCUUCGGGUUGUAAACCUCUUUCAGCAGGGAAGAAGCCACAAGUGACGGUACCUGCAGAAGAAGCGCCGGCUAACUACGUGCCAGCAUCCGCGGUAAUACGUAGGGCGCAAGCGUUGUCCGGAAUUAUUGGGCGUAAAGAGCUCGUAGGCGGUUUGUCGCGUCUGCUGUGAAAGCCCGGGGCUUAACCCCGGGUGUGCAGUGGGUACGGGCAGACUAUACUGCAUUAGGGGAGACUGGAAUUCCUGGUGUAGCGGUGGAAUGCGCACAUAUCACGAGGAACACCGAUG
rnacentral:rRNA from 1 species